AAAGCAAGGAAGGAAACCAGUUAGAGCUAAAAGAUGUGAUGACUACCAUCCAAUUCUUUUCACUCCAUCUUCUGCAUCGGCAAAGGCUAAAAAUCAAGUAUGUUUGAUGAUUCAUUUGCUGCGUUUUAUUUGGAGACGACAUUAAUUUUCUUAGGUCGCCAACAAACGACUACUGUGUUGUUUGAAUGACAAUUAGCAGGUAAAUGGAGGCAAAGGAAUUGGACGGUAGUGACGAAGACAUGAGGCUCUCUGGGUUGGCGAUCUCACCUGGGAGCUUGGAGGCUCAGUCCAAGGCCACCUGAGGGAACCACUACAGCUUGAAGAGCCCACCGAGUCUCGAGAGAUGGC
rnacentral:lncRNA from 1 species